AAUGAACGCUAGCGGUAGGCCUAACACAUGCAAGUUGAACGCAUACUUUUACAGUAUACGUAGCAAACGGGUAAGUAACGCGUGAGAAAUCUACCUUACAAUCUGGGAUAAAAUCCCGGAUUCUUUCUAAACUAGAUGUUCCGACAAAUAGUAUAGAAUAAAAGAUUAAAUGUCGUUGUAAGAUGUGCUCACGUAGGAUUAAGUAGUUGGUGAAGUAAAAGCUACACCAAGCCGAAGAUCCUUAGCUGGCCUGAGAGGAUGAUCAGCCACACUGGAACUGAGACAAGGUGCAGACGCGUAGGGGAGGCAGCAGUAGGGAAUAUUCCGGAAUGGGCGAAAGCAUGAAGGAGAAACGCCGCGUGAGUGAUGAAGGUCUUCGGAUCGUAAAACUCUGUUAUUAGGGAAGAAAAAAUGUGUAAGUAACUAUGCACGUCUUGACGGUACCUAAUCAGAAAGCCACGGCUAACUACGUG
rnacentral:rRNA from 1 species